AAUUUGUUGAAUGAAAUCAAAUCUUUAAAUACUAAUGGGUGCCGUAGGAGGUCGACCGGAAUUUUUUGCUCGGAUUUCUUGGCAUGUAACAGAUAGAAAACUCAGGAUUAGAAUUCAUAGAACAAAAAAGGGGCAGUGGCAAAUAUUUCAUGUAUAUUUUGAAAACAGAGAUUUACCCCCACACCCUUUGCCAUAAAACUUUCUUUUUCUUAUUUGUGCCUUCGGACUUAGGCUAUUUCUUUCUUUGCG
rnacentral:lncRNA from 1 species